rfam:Triticum aestivum genome assembly, contig: Triticum_aestivum_CS42_TGACv1_scaffold_578446_7BL
CUUGUACUCCCUCCGUCCAGAAAAACUUGUCGGAGAAAUGGAUGUAUCUAGACGGAUUUUAGUUUUAGAUACAUCCAUUUUUAGCCAUUUUGACGACAAGUAUUUCCGGACGGAGGGAGUAUUUG